rnacentral:rRNA from 1 species
GAUGAGCGCUAGCGGCAGGCCUAAUACAUGCAAGUCGAACGGUGUCUUCGGACAUAGUGGCGCACGGGUGCGUAACACGUAUGCAACCUACCUUACAUUGGGGGAUAGCCUUUCGAAAGGGAGAUUAAUACCGCAUAAGACAGUAGCUGGGCAUCCAGCAGCUGUUAAAGAUUUAUCGAUGUAAGCUGGGCAUGCGUCCAAUUAGCUAGUUGGUGAGGUAACGGCUCACCAAGGCAAUGAUUGGUAGGGGAACUGAGAGGUCAAUCCCCCACACUGGCACUGAGAUACGGGCCAGACUCCUACGGGAGGCAGCAGUAGGGAAUAUUGGGCAAUGGACGCAAGCCUGACCCAGCCAUGCCGCGUGCAGGAUGAAGGCGUUAUGCGUUGUAAACUGCUUUUAUACAGGAAGAAACGACUCUUGCGAGAGGCAUUGACGGUACUGUAUGAAUAAGCACCGGCUAACUCCGUGCCAGCCGCCGCCGUAAUAC